UGGGGAAUUUUGGACAAUGGGGGCAACCCUGAUCCAGCCAUGCCGCGUGCGGGAAGAAGGCCUUCGGGUUGUAAACCGCUUUUGGUCGGAAAGAAAAGGCCGCCUUGAAUACGGGUGGUUUUUGACGGUACCGGCAGAAUAAGCACCGGCUAACUACGUGCCAGCAGCCGCGGUAAUACGUAGGGUGCGAGCGUUAAUCGGAAUUACUGGGCGUAAAGCGUGCGUAGGCGGUUUCUGAAGUCCGCUGUGAAAGCCCCGGGCUUAACCUGGGAAUGGCAGUGGAAACUAGGGGACUUGAAUCUGGCAGAGGGGGGUGGAAUGCCGCGUGUAGCAGUGAAAUGCGUAGAGAUGCGGCGGAACACCGAUGGCGAAGGCAGCCCCCUGGGCUGAGAUUGACGCUGAGGCACGAAAGCGUGGGGAGCAAACAG
rnacentral:rRNA from 1 species